rnacentral:misc_RNA from 1 species
CACACAACUGUUUCGUUAUCCUAUCACGUGCAAAAGACGAGUGCGAACACCACACACCACGCGCUUCAUGGAGGUGUUUGGCAUGCUAGUACAGUCACGCACACCCAUGCAAGCGCAUGUACGCGAGCACUGCAGGGGCGUGCAGCUGCCUUGGAUCCCACCAGUAGUGAGCGUGUCGACCCACAGCGUAGAAGACGGGAGCAGCAGCAAAGGCGAGAAAAGACUUAAAGUAGAAGAGCCGCAUGGCACACAUGCGGUGAUGAGGGCGUGCCGUGAAGAGCGAAUGCUGCCGACUAACUCUCCUGCUCUCCUUCCUCGGCCAGCGAGUGAGUGUGCAUCAGCCCCCCCCCCCCCCCCGCGGAAAUAAUUAACACAGAGAUACACACAAGUCCAUCAGUACCCCAUCCCAUUGGUCCGACUCCGCCGUAUCCCUCUCGCAUGCGAUAGGAAGUAUGCUGGACAGGCGUAUUGCGUAUGCGGCUGUGAUCUUGAUGGCGCAGAGGGGGCUCCGCUUUCGUUGAGUUACGAUGUGCUGGCCCCGGAAAAGCAGCCAUGCAUGGACUUCUCAUGCAUGGCUAAGCCUCGCGCGGCCUCAUGUCUGCGGAGCUCAAGAAGGGUUACACCGGCUGCCGAUCGUACCUGAUGAGCGCCGAAGAUUUAGGAAAAGGCGGACGCUUUACGCACAGCGAGAUUCUCAUUGCGAAUGAUGCAAUCAUCCAACAAAGGAGGGAAGGGGUGCAGGUGCCAGAGGAGUACGUCCGUAGCCUCGAGGGCCCGGCCCACAGCACCUUCCUCGAAGCGGCUCUCAGCAGAUCGGUGGAAGCCGCCCGCGCCCGCUGCCGGGAAACGAAGCGGAUGCAGACAGGGGUCUCUGCUGAGCACUCAAAACUUGCCCGAAUCGUCAGAAGCGACCCGUUUUGGCCAAGGUCGUACACGAUGCAGACCCUCGUCGUCUUCUCGGCGAUCUAAGGCGUCGCAUUCAAUGGGCGCGGCAUGACGCCAGCAGAGGCCCACGACACUUCGUUGGCCUUGAAGAGGGCCUUCGACUGCCUCCUCACUCAGGCGCGGGUCUCGCGCUUGCUCACUCUCUGCAGCGCACGCUUCCGGGACGAGCGGACGAUGGACCUCGUGGCCCUGAUGUGUUUAACCGCGAGGAGGAGCACGAGACGGGGGCGCGGUAGGAAGAGAGCACGCACCCGCAGAGCGGCAGGAACUCGGGGUGACGCUACGGGCACGCGAUGGGGGCACGGCCCAGCCGACCGUGUAGGUGCGCUGCUCAUGGGAGGCGCCUGUUCUUUUAUUUUCUUCUCUGCUGGAGCUGCGGCUUCCCUUCAUUUGGAUGGCGCCUUUGUCAUCGCUGCUGUCCUCACGGGUUAUCUUCAAACACUCAUACAGCCAACGCGGAGCGACUUCACUCCGUGACUCUCCGUCCAUGCGCGAACCACGGCCCGUUGCAUAAAAUCCGGCGAGAGCCCCACAGACAGGCCGAGCCGUGAUCUUGCACACCAAGCGCCAAGGGCCACAACUGGUGGCACGGGGAGGGUGCGAUAUGUAACUGGAAGGACGAGCGGCUCCGCACUCCCGUCCGUGCACACAGGCACAGGCAUAUACACGUACCGAUGCGCUUGUAUGGAGAGACGCGCUCUGCUCGCGCUGGUAUGGCCCUCUCUGUGUAAGCGGCACGACCGCACACAUGGCAGAGGUCGGACCGACUGGGACGCGUGUGCCGACUCGGCCUAUGGCCUCGGGUGUACCUCGCUCUCCCGCCUCUUCUAUCUGCACGCCUCUUCACUGUCUUUUUCACACGCUGCCGAAG